rnacentral:rRNA from 1 species
GGGACACGUGGUAUCCUGUCUGAAUAUGGGGGGACCAUCCUCCAAGGCUAAAUACUCCUGACUGACCGAUAGUGAACCAGUACCGUGAGGGAAAGGCGAAAAGAACCCCGGCGAGGGGAGUGAAAAAGAACCUGAAACCGUGUACGUACAAGCAGUGGGAGCACCUUCGGGUGUGACUGCGUACCUUUUGUAUAAUGGGUCAGCGACUUAUAUUCUGUAGCAAGGUUAACCGUAUAGGGGAGCCGCAGGGAAACCGAGUCUUAACUGGGCGUUAAGUUGCAGGGUAUAGACCCGAAACCCGGUGAUCUAGCCAUGGGCAGGUUGAAGGUUGGGUAACACUAACUGGAGGACCGAACCGACUAAUGUUGAAAAAUUAGCGGAUGACUUGUGGCUGGGGGUGAAAGGCCAAUCAAACCGGGAGAUAGCUGGUUCUCCCCGAAAGCUAUUUAGGUAGCGCCUCGUGAAUUCAUCUUCGGGGGUAGAGCACUGUUUCGGCUAGGGGGUCAUCCCGACUUACCAACCCGAUGCAAACUACGAAUACCGAAGAAUGUUAUCACGGGAGACACACGGCGGGUGCUAACGUCCGUCGUGAAGAGGGAAACAACCCAGACCGCCAGCUAAGGUCCCAAAGUCAUGGUUAAGUGGGAAACGAUGUGGGAAGGCACAGACAGCCAGGAUGUUGGCUUAGAAGCAGCCAUCAUUUAAAGAAAGCGUAAUAGCUCACUGGUCGAGUCGGCCUGCGCGGAAGAUGUAACGGGGCUAAACCAUGCACCGAAGCUGCGGCAGCGACACUAUGUGUUGUUGGGUAGGGGAGCGUUCUGUAAGCCUGCGAAGGUGUGCUGUGAGGCAUGCUGGAGGUAUCAGAAGUGCGAAUGCUGACAUAAGUAACGAUAAAGCGGGUGAAAAGCCCGCUCGCCGGAAGACCAAGGGUUCCUGUCCAACGUUAAUCGGGGCAGGGUGAGUCGACCCCUAAG